rnacentral:sRNA from 1 species
CUUAACAGAAAAAAACUGUGGAA